rnacentral:rRNA from 1 species
AUUGAACGCUGGCGGCAGGCUUAACACACGCAAGUCGAGCGGGGGAAGGUAGCUUGCUACCGGACCUAGCGGCGGACGGGUGAGUAAUGCUUAGGAAUCUGCCUAUUAGUGGGGGACAACAUCUCGAAAGGGAUGCUAAUACCGCAUACGUCCUACGAGAGAAAGCAGGGGAUCUUCGGACCUUGCGCUAAUAGAUGAGCCUAAGUCGGAUUAGCUAGUUGGUGGGGUAAAGGCCUACCAAGGCGACGAUCUGUAGCGGGUCUGAGAGGAUGAUCCGCCACACUGGGACUGAGACACGGCCCAGACUCCUACGGGAGGCAGCAGUGGGGAAUAUUGGACAAUGGGGGGAACCCUGAUCCAGCCAUGCCGCGUGUGUGAAGAAGGCCUUAUGGUUGUAAAGCACUUUAAGCGAGGAGGAGGCUACUUUAGUUAAUACCUAGAGAUAGUGGACGUUACUCGCAGAAUAAGCACCGGCUAACUCUGUGCCAGCAGCCGCCGUAA